UAGGGAGGCAGCAGUGGGGAAUAUUGCACAAUGGGCGCAAGCCUGAUGCAGCCAUGCCGCGUGUAUGAAGAAGGCCUUCGGGUUGUAAAGUACUUUCAGUCGUGAGGAAGGUGUUAAGGUUAAUAACCUUAGCAAUUGACGUUAGCGACAGAAGAAGCACCGGCUAACUCCGUGCCAGCAGCCGCGGUAAUACGGAGGGUGCGAGCGUUAAUCGGAAUUACUGGGCGUAAAGGGCACGCAGGCGGUUAAUUAAGUUGGAUGUGAAAUCCCCGGGCUUAACCUGGGAAUGGCAUUCAAGACUGGUUAGCUAGAGUCUUGUAGAGGGGGUAGAAUUCCAUGUGUAGCGGUGAAAUGCGUAGAGAUGUGGAGGAAUACCGGUGGCGAAGGCGGCCCCUGGGACAAAGGACUGACGCUCAUGUGCGAAAGCGUGGGGAGCAAACAGGGAUUAGAUACC
rnacentral:rRNA from 1 species